AGAGUUUGAUCAUGGCUCAGAAUGAACGUUGGCGGCGUGGAUUAGGCAUGCAAGUCGAGCGAGAACCCGCAAGGGGGACAGCGGCGAACGGGGUAGGACAACGUAGGUAACGUACCCUCGGGGCGAGGACAGCCACGGGAAACUGUGGGUAAUACUCGAUAAUCUUCCCAAUCAUAAUCGGAGGGGAAGCAAUGGGUGAGAUUCCACCUGAGGAGCGGCUUACGCAGUAUCAGCUAGUUGGUGAGGUAACGGCUCACCAAGGCUAUGACGCUUAGGGGAUGUGAGAGCAUGAUCCCCACCACUGGCACUGAGACACUGGCCAGACACCUACGGGUGGCUGCAGUCGAGAAUCUUCGGCAAUGGACGCAAGUCUGACCGAGCGACGCCGCGUGCGGGAUGAAGGUCUUCGGAUUGUAAACCGCUGUCAGAGGGGAUGAAGUGUACGGGAGUUAUCUCCUGUAUUUGACAGAGCCUCAGAGGAAGCACGGGCUAAGUUCGUGCCAGCAGCCGCGGUAAUACGAACUGUGCGAACGUUAUUCGGAAUCACUGGGCUUAAAGGGUGCGUAGGCGGUUAUCUAAGUCAGGUGUGAAAUCUUUCGGCUCAACCGGAAAACUGCGCUUGAUACUGGAUGACUUGAGUGAGGUAGGGGUGUGUGGAACUUCCGGUGGAGCGGUGAAAUGUGUAGAUAUCGGAAGGAACGCCAGCAGCGAAAGC
rnacentral:rRNA from 1 species